rnacentral:rRNA from 1 species
UACGUAGGGGGCUAGCGUUGUCCGGAAUCAUUGGGCGUAAAGCGCGCGUAGGCGGCCCAGUAAGUCCGUUGUAAAAGUCAAAGGCUCAACCUUUGAAAGCCGAUGGAUACUGCUGGGCUAGAGUCCGGAAGAGGCGAGUGGAAUUCCUGGUGUAGCGGUGGAAUGCGCAGAGAUCGGGAGGAACACCCGUAGCGAAGGCGGCGCUCUGGGCCGGUACUGACGCUGAGGAGCGAAAGCGUGGGGAGUAAACAGG